rnacentral:rRNA from 1 species
GAUCCUGGCUCAGAACGAACGCUGGCGGCAGGCUUAACACAUGCAAGUUGAACGGGAUUUGUAUGGUGCUUGCACCAUGUAAUGAGAGUAGCGCACUGGUGAGUGACACGUGGGAACAUACCUUGAAGUGGGGGACAACAGUUGGAAACGACUGCUAAUACCGCAUAAUCCCUGAGGGGGAAAGAUUUAUCGCUUUAAGAUUGGCCCGCGGAAGAUUAGGUAGUUGGUGAGGUAAAGGCCUACCAAGCCG